UAAGUACUCCCUCCGUCCCAAAAUUCUUGUCUUAGAUUUGUAUAGAUAUGAAUGUAUCUAGUCACAUUUUAGUAUUUUGAUACAUUCAUUUCUAAACAAACCUAAGACAAGAAUUUUGGGACGGAGGGGGUGGUAG
rfam:Hordeum vulgare subsp. vulgare, WGS project CAJW01000000 data, contig: morex_contig_56923